UACGUAGGGUGCGAGCGUUAAUCGGAAUUACUGGGCGUAAAGCGUGCGCAGGCGGUUUUGUAAGCCAGAUGUGAAAUCCCCGGGCUCAACCUGGGAAUGGCAUUUGGGACUGCAAGGCUGGAGUGUGGCAGAGGAGACUGGAAUUCAUGGUGUAGCAGUGAAAUGCGUAGAGAUCAUGAGGAAGACCAGUGGCGAAGGCGGGUCUCUGGACAGUUCCUGACACUGAGACACGAAGGCCAGGGGAGCAAACGGG
rnacentral:rRNA from 1 species